CCCAGGACCCCGGGAUCACGACCUGAUUUGCCAAAGGCAAAUGCUCAACCACUGAGCCACCCAGAUGCCCCUGACGUAGGGGUUCUUAGAUGCAGUUUUAGAAAGCAAGAUAAGACCUCGUACACAGUAACUGUCAAUCACAAUCACUAGUAAAAUAUUUCUUGUCACUCUGUACCUUUUGCUCUUCUUUAGGCAGGCAUUGAAGUAGCAGAAAGUUAAUGGCACACCAUACUGCUGACUGCGUGGUGCUCAUCUCAAUGCAUCUUCCAACGUCGAACCUGAGAAUGCUAGAGGCUGGAGACUCUGGACACUUAUCUGAGCAGUUAUCUGCUGGUGGCCUGGUUCCUGAGGUAAUAAGUGGGUGUCCCCGAUGUGUGUGUGCUGGCAACAGCAGUGACGCCACGUGGUGCCCAGAGGUCGCCGCCUGGUCCAUGGGGCUUCUGAGAUGAACUGUAAAGGGGCGUCCUGAGCAGUGCAGGCAUUUUGGAGUGCCCCAGCAAAUCUGGAUGUAAGUGUAAACACGGCGCUCAAAGUGAAAGCAGGGGCCUCGAGGAAGGAAUUACCCUCAUCUCAUUCCCGACCUGCUCACUCUGCUGGAAAACAAAGUAGUUGCUCACUGGCAAGGGAACCAAUUAAAAGGCCAUCAUGCGUGUCCAGGAACAAAGUGACAGAGGUCUUCCAUGUUUAUUGGCAGUGGAAAAGGGAUGGGAAGACAAAGCCAGUGGUCGCUGAAAAUGAAUGCUGCUCAUACUUGGCUUCACGUAGAAGGGAGUCAAAGGCUGAACUUGCAAAUCUCCCUGGAUGGCUAUACAAUGAAUUAAAAUAAGAGUUUGUUUUGUUGUUUCCUGACUGUGUCUAAAGGAGGGACCACCCUCUCCAGAUGGAUAUAUGUAGGGAUUCAAAGUAGGAGAACGUGACAAGGCUGAAAAAAACAAAUGUGAGACUGAAACCCCAAAGAAGGAGCACUGAAACAAUGUACUACAUAUACACGUCCAUGUAUCUGGCUGAAUGUGUGAGUUCUCAGAACCAUGGCUUCAUUGCUGGUAGCUGGUGAUUUCCAGUGCAGAAGGUCACUAACUACAAGAAAUGUUCUAUCCGGUGAGUAGGUGAUGGAUUCCAGUGAUUAUUGCUAAGCCAGGGUUCAAGGUCUUGGAUUGUGGAUUCAAAAGACUGCUGGCAAGAUCGUAAAUACUUCUGCUUUAUAUGGUUUAAUGGACAGAAUUGCAGGACUCACAGAAGCCUGUGAAGGGUUUUUCAGAAUGUGGAUUGAUUGAAUAAUCAUUGGGAUUUUUUUUUUUUUUUUUUUGAGUAUACCAGUCCUUUUGAGGAGGAAAGGAAGUUUUACAGAAGGAAGCAGUUUGUGGGGGGCUUUUCAAGGUACAGUUACUGCUUUUCUAUAUUUAAAGUUAUCACUCUGCCGUCUUAGGAGAUAGAAGUGACUGACUACACGGUCUCAGCAGAGAAAAGUUCUGCCGACUUUUUUAAAAUGAAGAGACUUCCUCCACAUCUUCCUCUUAACUGGAUUUUUUUUUCCUUAUAAAUAUUCACAAGGAGAAAGUAUCCCAUGAAGAAGGCCACCCCUCUUGGCGGUACCUGUGAUGUGUCUCCCGCGGCUGGCUCGCCAGUAGCUUAUCCAGGGGGCAUAGGGAGGGAAUUACAGUCACUGGAAACAGUGAGUGCCGUUGAAGGAAAUUGUUCUCUCUCCCAAGUGGAUAAGUUGUUUGACCUACUGACUCAUUUCAUAGGAAUUGGGAAAACAACCCUAGUGUGGUUUUCAUUGUUAGUCCUGGAAGAUUCCAAAAUCUGUGUGUCUGCAAAUAAGAUGAGCUGGAGCAAGGUAGUGUUGCCACUUGCUGUCUCUGCUUGCCUGUUCUCCUAAUGGAAUUCAAUCCCAUGACAAGUCCAGCCUGCGCUUCGGGGUCCUUUGUGUCCUGCUCAGUGGGUCCCUCCAUGCAGCCCAAAUGUGUGAUGUUACUGCAGACGGCCUCCAGGGGGGCUCCCCGUGUCCUGCUGUGACCUGGAGACCACCCCCCUGCCUCAGAAGAGGAGUUUUCCCUGGAAGUUGGCGCCUGAGGACCCGGUUUGCUCUGUUGCUCUUUUCCUGUGAGGCGAUUCAAACAGGUGUUACAGUUCUGAUAUUGAGAACAGCGUGACCUCUGCGAUUGGGUUCUUCUCGCUUAUGGUGUGCUGAUUUAAACCACUGGCAAUGUUAAGUCAACUAAAAACCUCAGUGAGGGGCGCCUGGGUGGCUCAGCGGUUUGGUGCCUGCCUUUGGCCCAGGGCGUGAUCCUGGAGUCCCACAUCGGGCUCCCUGCGUGGAGCCUGCUUCUUCCUCUGCCUAUGUCUCUGCCUCUCUCUCUCUGUGUCUCUCAUGAAUAAAUAAAUAGUCUUUAAAAAAAAAAAAAAAACCUCAGUGAGGUUAUAAAUUGUACAGCUUAAGGGGAGUUGAUGGAAGGAAUCCUGUCUGGGGUGGAGGGACCCUCUCCAGAAUCCCUUUGAAGACCACAGGGCCUUAAGUGUGAGUCGAUUUCCGUACAAGGGAAGGCUUCUCUUAGGGAGCUUCUACUUGGCUGACGCAUGUUUUGAUUGAGGCUCUAUCUGUCUGUCUGUCCUGGCUAUCGAGCAUAGAAGAAACAGCACGUGAAGGAAGCACUGGGGUUGGGACCAGGAGGCCAGAGUGUGGCCUCGUCCUCCCACACCUCACAUCCAUCCCACCCCCAGUGCCCCUUGUGGUUGUGCGGGUUACCUGGCCUCACUCUGCCCACUGACAAGGUGAGGCGGCAGGCUGCUGGGUCUGAAUCCCGGCUCUGCCACUUACUAGCUGCGUGCCUCUGGGCGCCUGCAGUUACUGAAUGUCUCCGUGCCUCGGUUUCCUCACCCACGAAUUGAGAAUGGUCAUAGUACCCAUCUCACGGGGCCACUGCGAGGGUCGAACGGGUAGUAAGUGAAAUGCCCGGAAGGCACUGCAGAGUGACACCGUGCUCCAGGUUACGGAAUCUACGGCUCUGUCUCCCGGUGCUUCAGGCUGUUCUGCUCCUGAGCGGCAGGUACUAAGUGGCCGACACGUUCACAGGAGAGCCAGUCAGAGCGAAGGAUGGACCAGGGAAGCUGAAGGGGCAGGCGGUCCCCAGUGCCCUUUGGCUGUGGAGCAGUGCUCAGGCUGGCACCUCGUCAUGCGCCUGCCUCCGUCCGCCUGAUGCUGAGACAGCAGUCCUCACUUCAGCAGAACAAGUGGCUGCCCUCGGCCUCACAUGGAACACAUGCCCUGACACUGCCCUCAGGUAAUCUCCAUGCGGUGGGGACCAGGGGCCUCAGGUAGGCAGAGGUGCUGACAUGAAGACGUAGGCCCUCCACGCUUGCUGAGGUCCCCAGGCAGCAUUCGCCAGUUUUCCUGCCGUCUCAGGUUUUGUCGGACUUAGUCACGGUGGCCAAGCUCUUCACUGGCUGGUUCUCCUGGAUGAAAACCCUUUCAUUGAAACUUCUCAUCCUACACUGUUUAGUUGCUCAGCACACUUCUCUGAGGACUCAGCUGGCCAUCCUUACAAUAGCCCACUGAGAGGCAAGAAGAGGUUUUCAUGCUGUUCCCCCCAAAUCAGUUGAUACGUCAUGGCUUCUGCCAUGAAAGGUUUUCAGAAGGAGGAAAGUGUGUCUAGGGGGCAAGCUUACAAAGCUUGUCUUGUGGCUCCCUUCCAGAAUGUACUUAGCGGUUCUGCCCUGCGUGGCAGAGAGCCCUGUUCUCUUUUCAGUUUGGGUGGCUCCAUAUAAAUCUUCCACUAAAAAAGACACUUUUUAAAAAAAAUUUAUUUAUUCAUUUGAAACAGGUACAGAGAGAGAAAGAGUGUGAGCAGAGGGAGAGGGAGAAGCGACUCCCCUCUGAGCCGGGUACCCAGCAAGGGGCCCCAUCCCAGGAUGUAAGGAUCAUGACCUGAGCCAAAAGCAGACGCUUCAACCAUCUGAGCCACCCAGGCACCUCUAAGAAUGAUGUCUUUAAAGGCUGCUGCCCAGGCAAGAGAAGGUCUUUCUGCUGCCCUGUUGGAGGCAUGGGGACUGGCAAAGCAGCAUUACAAAUCUGAGGGAGUGCUAACCAGGUGCUGAUCUCGGGAAUGAAUGCCUCUGAGGAUUUCUGUGCCUGGAAAAUAUCUGUCAACAGAUUGCGUUUACAUCCCUGUAAGAUGAGAAAACCAGCUCAGGAGCAGGAAACAUGUUCAGUAGAUGCCUUUCCCGGAAGAAAGAGGAGUUUGUGUUGGGAUCUCCUUAGGAAGAGGAGGCACUCCUCUAAAGCAUGAUAAAUGAGGAUGACGUAUAAGGACAAUCAAAAGGAGAAGCUGAAGAUCAGUGAAUUUAUUUAAGCCAAGAGGACAGACAGACCCAGUGAAUGAUGCCACCAGGAUUAGAACCCAUCUUCUCAAGGUGAUGCUGUUAUAAUAAAACUGAGAAAAGGAAAGUGACCUGCCUUCUCAGGAGCUACUCAGUGGAAAGGCCCAGGUAGAAAGAAACCAAUGUCUUCAGGCAACAGCUCAUGAUAACCUGCCUAGAGCCACAUGAGCUUGGAAACGAAUCCUCUCAACAAGCGUGGAGAUGACUACAGCUCCAGCCAAUACCUUACUGCAGCCCAGAGACACCUUGAACUACAGAAUCCACAGAAAUUGUUGCAUAACAAGUGUUUAUUAUUUUAGGCCACUGCAUUUUGGGGGGCUAUUUGUUAUGCAGCAAAAGAGGACUAUUACAGCUUGUAGUACUCAUAUCUAGACUCAGAUACCUGCUUAUGGUACCUAGUUUGUCUUCCAAUAAACAUUUUGUUGAAGAAUCACUUUAGGUUUACAGAAAAGUUGAAGAGAUAAUAGAGUAGUUUUUCUGCCACUCAUCAGGUUUCCUGUUGUUAGUAUUUCCUAUAACCAUAGUACAUUUGUCAAUACUACACCCACAUUAGCACUUUACUGGUGACUAAAAUUCAGACUUUAUUCACAUCUCACUAGUUUUUCCACUGAUGUCCUUUUUCUUUUUUUUUUUUUUUUUUUUUUUACAAAGCUUUAUUAUGUAGUCUUAUUUUUUCCAGGAUCACGCCCUGGGCUGCAGGUGGCGCUAAACCACUGCGCCACCAGGGCUGCCCUGAUGUCCUUUUUCUGUGCUAGGAUUGCUAUCGUAUUUUAAUGGCCUAGGAGAUAAUCAUGCCUCAUAACUGUGCUUGUGUGUGUGUGUGUGUGUGUGUGUGUGUCAAGAGAGAAGAAAUACACAUGUUUGCUAAAAUCUGGGAGACUACUCACAGAUAAUAAAGGAAUAUUAGCAAGGUCUUUAAUUAGGAGUCUUGCUUAUAAUUAUUAAGAAAAAUAACCAUUAAUGAAAAAUGUGUAGGAGCACGUGGGUGGCACAGACGGUUAAGGCUUUGAUUCUUGGUUUCGGCUCAGGUCAUGGUCUCAGGGUUGUCAGAGCACCAUGUUGGGCUCCGCGCUCAGUGGAGAUUCUGCUUGAGAUUCUCUCCCUCCUCCCUCUGCCCCUCCCCCUGCUCAGACAUCCACAGUCUCUAAAUAAAAUAAAUAAAAUCUAUUUUCAAAUGUCUAUUAUGUGAAAUUACUGAGGGGUAGGUGGGAAUGGCUACAAAUAAAAAAUGAGGGAUCCCUGGGUGGCGCAGCGGUUUAGCGCCUGCCUUUGGCCCAGGGCGCGAUCCUGGAGACCCGGGAUCGAAUCCCACA